AUGGCCAUGGCGUCCUUCCGCCCCCUUCCCCUCGCGCUCCUGCUCGCCGCGUGCCUCUCCGCGUUCGUGCUGGCCGUGGCGCACGCGCGGACCCCACGGCUGGAGCCCACCAUCCGGCUGCCGUCGCAGCGCGCCGCCGGGCAGGAGGACGAUGACUCCGUCGGGACCAGGUGGGCCGUCCUCAUCGCCGGUUCCAACGGCUACUACAACUACCGCCACCAGGCGGAUAUCUGCCACGCCUACCAGAUCAUGAAGAAGGGUGGUCUCAAGGAUGAGAACAUCAUCGUAUUCAUGUACGACGACAUUGCGCACAACCCGGAGAACCCGAGGCCGGGCGUCAUCAUCAACCACCCCCAGGGUGGAGAUGUCUAUGCUGGAGUCCCUAAGGACUACACUGGAAAGGAGGUUAAUGUCAAGAACUUCUUUGCUGUCCUGCUCGGUAAUAAAACCGCUGUGAGUGGUGGGAGCGGCAAAGUCGUGGACAGUGGCCCUAAUGAUCACAUUUUUGUGUUUUACAGUGACCAUGGGGGUCCUGGGGUCCUUGGGAUGCCUACCUAUCCAUACCUUUACGGUGAUGAUCUUGUAGAUGUCCUGAAGAAAAAGCACGCUGCUGGAACCUACAAAAGCCUGGUAUUUUACCUUGAAGCCUGCGAAUCUGGGAGCAUCUUUGAGGGACUUCUGCCGAAUGACAUCGGUGUCUAUGCGACCACCGCAUCAAAUGCAGAGGAAAGCAGUUGGGGAACGUAUUGCCCCGGCGAGUACCCGAGCCCUCCACCGGAAUAUGACACUUGCUUGGGCGACCUGUACAGCAUUUCUUGGAUGGAAGACAGUGAUGUCCACAACCUGAGAACUGAAUCUCUCAAGCAGCAGUAUAACCUGGUCAAGAAGAGAACGGCAGCUCAGGACUCAUACAGCUAUGGUUCCCAUGUGAUGCAAUACGGUUCUUUGGACCUGAAUGCUGAACAUUUGUUCUCGUACAUUGGGUCAAACCCUGCUAACGAGAACACUACAUUUGUUGAAGAUAACGCACUGCCAUCAUUCUCGAGAGCUGUUAAUCAGAGGGAUGCUGAUCUUGUUUAUUUCUGGCAGAAGUACCGGAAAUUGGCCGAGAGCUCCCCUGAGAAAAACGAUGCUCGGAAGCAAUUGCUUGAAAUGAUGGGUCAUAGAUCUCAUAUUGACAACAGCGUCGAGCUGAUUGGAAACCUUCUGUUUGGUUCUGCGGGUGGUCCGAUGGUUCUAAAGGCUGUUCGCCCAGCUGGUGAACCUCUUGUUGAUGACUGGAGUUGUCUCAAGUCUACGGUGCGUACUUUUGAAUCACAAUGUGGCUCGCUGGCGCAAUAUGGAAUGAAGCACAUGCGGUCCUUUGCAAACAUCUGCAAUGCCGGCAUUGUUCCUGAAGCGAUGGCAAAGGUUGCUGCUCAGGCGUGCACGAGCAUCCCAACCAACCCCUGGAGUGCCACACACAAGGGUUUUAGUGCUUAA
rnacentral:rRNA from 1 species